rnacentral:rRNA from 1 species
GAUGAACGCUGGCGGCGUGCUUAACACAUGCCAGUCGAACGGAAAGGCCCAAGCUUGCUUUGGUACUCGAGUGGCGAACGGGUGAGUAACCCGUGGGUGAUCUUCCCUGCACUUCGGGAUAAGCCGGGGAAACUGGGUCUAAUACCGGAUAGGACCACUUCUUGGUUGUUGUGGUUGAAAGUUUUUUCGGUGUGGGAUGAGGUGGCGGCCUAUCAGCUUGUUGGUGGGGUAAUGGCCUACCAAGGCGUCGACGGGUAGCCGGCCUGAGAGGGUGUACGGCGGUAUUGGGACUGAGAGACGGCAGAGACUGCUAAGGGAGGCAGCAGGGGGGAAGAGUGAACAAGGGGCGCAAGGCGGGUGAAGCGGGGCUGCGUGGGGGAUGACGGCCUUCGGGGGGUAGACGCCUUGCGAGAGGGAAGAAGCGUUUUGUGACGGUACCUGGAGAAGAAGCACCGGCUAACUACGUG